rnacentral:rRNA from 1 species
GGCUCAGGACGAACGCUGGCGGCGUGCCUAAUACAUGCAAGUCGAGCGGACUUAUCCUUCGGGAUAAGUUAGCGGCGGACGGGUGAGUAACACGUAGGUAACCUGCCUAUAAGAUCGGGAUAACUAUCGGAAACGAUAGCUAAGACCGGAUAACUGGUUUUCUCGCAUGAGAGAAUUAUGAAACACGGAGCAAUCUGUGGCUUAUAGAUGGGCCUGCGGCGCAUUAGCUAGUUGGUGAGGUAACGGCUCACCAAGGCGACGAUGCGUAGCCGACCUGAGAGGGUGAACGGCCACACUGGGACUGAGACACGGCCCAGACUCCUACGGGAGGCAGCAGUAGGGAAUCUUCCGCAAUGGACGCAAGUCUGACGGAGCAACGCCGCGUGAGUGAUGAAGGUUUUCGGAUCGUAAAGCUCUGUUGCCCUAGACGAACAGCAAGAGGAGUAACUGCCUUUUGUGUGACGGUAUAGGAGAAGAAAGCACCGGCUAACUACGUGCCAGCAGCCGCGGUAAUACGUAGGGUGCAAGCGUUAAUCGGAAUUACUGGGCGUAAAGCGUGCGCAGGCGGUUGUGCAAGACCGAUGUGAAAUCCNCGGGCU